rnacentral:rRNA from 1 species
AUUGAACGCUGGCGGCAUGCCUUACACAUGCAAGUCGAACGGCAGCGGGCCUUCGGGUGCCGGCGAGUGGCGAACGGGUGAGUAAUGCAUCGGAACGUGCCAUUGAGUGGGGGAUAACGUAGCGAAAGUUGCGCUAAUACCGCAUAUUCUGUGAGCAGGAAAGCAGGGGACCGCAAGGCCUUGCGCUCUUUGAGCGGCCGAUGUCAGAUUAGCUAGUUGGUGAGGUAAAGGCUUACCAAGGCGACGAUCUGUAGCGGGUCUGAGAGGAUGAUCCGCCACACUGGGACUGAGACACGGUCCAGACUCCUACGGGAGGCAGCAGUGGGGAAUUUUGGACAAUGGGCGCAAGCCUGAUCCAGCCAUGCCGCGUGAGUGAAGAAGGCCUGGUGUAAG